CGGAAUUAUUGGGCGUAAAGCGCGUGUAGGCGGUUUGUUAAGUCUGAUGUGAAAGCCCUGGGGCUCAACCUGGGAAGUGCAUUGGAUACUGGCAGACUUGAGUACGGGAGAGGGUAGUGGAAUUCCCAGUGUAGGAGUGAAAUCCGUAGAUAUUGGGAGGGACACCGGUGGCGAAGGCGGCUGCCUGGACCGAUACUGACGCUGAGACGCGAAAGCGUGGGGAGC
rnacentral:rRNA from 1 species